UGGGGAAUAUUGGACAAUGGGCGCAAGCCUGAUCCAGCCAUGCCGCGUGAGUGAAGAAGGCCUUCGGGUUGUAAAGCUCUUUUGUCAGGGAAGAAACGGUAGUAGCGAAUAACUAUUACUAAUGACGGUACCUGAAGAAUAAGCACCGGCUAACUACGUGCCAGCAGCCGCGGUAAUACGUAGGGUGCAAGCGUUAAUCGGAAUUACUGGGCGUAAAGCGUGCGCAGGCGGUUGUGUAAGUCAGAUGUGAAAUCCCCGGGCUCAACCUGGGAAUUGCAUUUGAGACUGCACGGCUAGAGUGUGUCAGAGGGGGGUAGAAUUCCACGUGUAGCAGUGAAAUGCGUAGAUAUGUGGAGGAAUACCGAUGGCGAAGGCAGCCCCCUGGGAUAACACUGACGCUCAUGCACGAAAGCGUGGGGAGCAAACAGGAUUAGAUACCCCCGUAGUCCCUGAGCGGGCUGGCAAGGCGCAU
rnacentral:rRNA from 1 species